GAAGGUGUAAUUUAGAGGUUAGAAUGUUGGCCUGUCACGCUGAAUACGCAGGUUCAAUUCCUGUCACCUUCG
rnacentral:tRNA from 1 species